rnacentral:rRNA from 1 species
UAGGGAAUCUUCCGCAAUGGACGCAAGUCUGACGGAGCAACGCCGCGUGAGUGAAGAAGGAUUUCGGUUCGUAAAACUCUGUUGUUAGAGAAGAACAGCGCAUAGAGUAACUGUUAUGCGUGUGACGGUAUCUAACCAGAAAGCCACGGCUAACUACGUGCCAGCAGCCGCGGUAAUACGUAUGGAGCGAGCGUUGUCCGGAAUUAUUGGGCGUAAAGGGUACGCAGGCGGUUUAAUAAGUCGAAUGUUAAAGAUCGGGGCUCAACCCCGUAGAGCAUUGGAAACUGAUAAACGUGAGUAGUGGGGAGGAAGGUGGAAUUCCUAGUGUAGUGGUGAAAUCCGUAGAUAUUAGGAGGAAUACCAGUAGCAAAGGCGACUGUCUGGACACAAACUGACGCUGAGGUACGAAAGCGUGGGGAGCAAACAGG